GGUGAACGCUGGCGGCGUGCUUAAGACAUGCAAGUCGAACGCAGUCUUCGGACUGAGUGGCGCACGGGUGAGUAACACGUAACUGACCUACCCCCAAGUCGCGGAUAACUGGCCGAACGGUCAGCUAAUACGUGAUAUGAUGUCCCCUUUCUGGGGGGCCAUUAAAGGUUUACUGCUUGGGGAUGGGGUUGCGUUCCAUCAGCUAGUUGGCGGGGUAAAGGCCCACCAAGGCAACGACGGAUAGCCGGCCUGAGAGGGUGGCCGGCCACAGGGGCACUGAGACACGGGUCCCACUCCUACGGGAGGCAGCAGUUAGGAAUCUUCCACAAUGGGCGAAAGCCUGAUGGAGCGACGCCGCGUGAGGGAUGAAGGUUCUCGGAUCGUAAACCUCUGAAUCAGGGACGAAAGACGCGUAAGCGGGAUGACGGUACCUGAGUAAUAGCACCGGCUAACUCCGUGCCAGCCGCCGCUGUAA
rnacentral:rRNA from 1 species